UACGUAUGGCGCGAGCGUUAUCCGGAUUUACUGGGUGUAAAGGGAGCGUAGACGGCAUGGCAAGUCUGAAGUGAAAGCCCGGGGCUCAACCGCGGGACUGCUUUGGAAACUGUUAAGCUGGAGUGCAGGAGAGGCAAGCGGAAUUCCUAGUGUAGCGGUGAAAUGCGAAGAUAUUAGGAGGAACACCAGUGGCGAAGGCGGCUUGCUGGACUGUAACUGACACUGAGGCUCGAAAGCGUGGGGAGCAA
rnacentral:rRNA from 1 species